GACGAACGCUGGCGGCGCGCCUAACACAUGCAAGUCGAACGGGACCAUUUUAGAGUUUACUUUGGGAUGGUUUAGUGGCGGACGGGUGAGUAACACGUGAGCAACCUACCUUUCAGAGGGGGAUAACAGUUGGAAACGACUGCUAAUACCGCAUAACGUUGUAAAAGGGCAUCCAUUUACAACCAAAAGAGAAAUCUGCUGAAAGAUGGGCUCGCGGCCGAUUAGAUAGUAGGCGGGGUAACGGCCCACCUAGUCAACGAUCGGUAGCCGGACUGAGAGGUUGAACGGCCACAUUGGGACUGAGACACGGCCCAG
rnacentral:rRNA from 1 species